AGUGAACGCUGGCGGUAGGCCUAACACAUGCAAGUCGAACGGCAGCACAGUAAGAGCUUGCUCUUACGGGUGGCGAGUGGCGGACGGGUGAGGAAUACAUCGGAAUCUACUUUUUCGUGGGGGAUAACGUAGGGAAACUUACGCUAAUACCGCAUACGACCUACGGGUGAAAGCAGGGGAUCUUCGGACCUUGCACGAUUGAAUGAGCCGAUGUCGGAUUAGCUAGUUGGCGGGGUAAAGGCCCACCAAGGCGACGAUCCGUAGCUGGUCUGAGAGGAUGAUCAGCCACACUGGAACUGAGACACGGUCCAGACUCCUACGGGAGGCAGCAGUGGGGAAUAUUGGACAAUGGGCGCAAGCCUGAUCCAGCCAUACCGCGUGGGUGAAGAAGGCCUUCGGGUUGUAAGGCCCUUUUGUUGGGAAAGAAAAGCAGCAGGUUAAUACCCCGCUGUUCUGACGGUACCCAAAGAAUAAGCACCGGCUAACUUCGUG
rnacentral:rRNA from 1 species